CAGGCUGCAACUCGCCUGCAUGAAGCUGGAAUUGCUAGUAAUCGCGGAUCAGCAAGCCGCGGUGAAUACGUUCCCGGGCCUUGUACACACCGCCCGUCACACCAUGAGAGUCGGGAACACCCGAAGUCCGUAGUCUAACCGCAAGGGGGGCGCGGCCGAAGGUGGGUCCGGUAAUUGGGGUGAAGUCGUAACAAGGUAAC
rnacentral:rRNA from 1 species